rnacentral:misc_RNA from 1 species
AAUGUGUAAUGCUUCUAGGUCAUUAUUGACGAUUGAACGUAACCGAAAUAAAUCGUUGCGGUUCAGUUCAGUCCAUCGGUUCCAAUUUUAGUCAGCAAACUGCUUACAGAAGCCCCAAGCAAAACCCAAACAAAACAGAUUCAUCCCAAGUAAAAUAUUCAACAAUUAACCAAUAAUCAUCCAAAAAUCAAUGGUAGUCAACCAAAACUCAUUCAAACAAAAACUAAUUGUUCAAUCAAAAUCUUCUACAAUUAACCAAAAAAUUUCAACACUCAAAAUUUCAAAUUUAUCCCAAGUAAAAAAUCAACAGUAGGCAAAGAAGUGAGGCUUUGAGAUGAACCCAAGAGGCAUCAUCUCAUCCCAGGACUUUGGCUCUCCGACUGCGUUUGCGUGACUUCUAAGGGAGUCCAUAGAGACAAUGGCUUGGCUUUCAGCGAGGAAGAGGGAACUUUGGUCUCUGAGGGUCGACUUGAUUUGUUGAUUUGUGAAGGGACUAAAGCUCAGAAGAACUCUCACUGCCUGAACUCUGAAGACAAUGGCUUGGCUUCCUACGAGGAAGAGAGAAAGCUGAUUUGUUGAUUCAUAAGGGUCGACUCGCUUGGUUCGUUUUUAGGAAGAUUUCGGCAAGCAAUUGCUACAGCCAUCACCGUCUGAACUCUGAAGAACCAAUAAAACGCUAUUGUGCUGGGUGGGUAUGAGAGGAAAGAAGACUGGGACAGGAAAGGGAUAUUAGGUUGUUCAGUUCUUUAUACACACACAAACCCUGUAAAAACGGUGUAGCUUAAUGGUUCGGUAGGUUUGGUUUUUCCUUUAAUUUUAGUUAAUUAACUGAACCAAAAACUGAAAUUCCCUUAAACUAAUAACCGAACCAAACCUAACCGAAAUAACUGAAUUGGCUAACUUCAGUUUUUCAGUUAUAACCCUAAAUUACUCAACCCUAGUCCUUUUGUGACAUUCAAAUGCCAAAAAUGAAUAAAAUCAAUAUUCUUUUCCUUUUCUCUCCACUUUCUUUCAAUAAAAUGAAGCCUGAAGUUUUCAAAAAAUUGCCAACCUAAGAAAUUUGAACUUUCUGCAAUUCGUUAAUUCCAAUAAUUUGCCGAGUCCCUAGACAAUGCUAGAGAAAUGGCAUUCACAGUUCAUUUUCAGAUAACAUAACUUGAAAUAAAAUUUUAGUUGACCCUGACUGUUUUCUCGAGUCCUGUAGUCAGUCAAGAGUCAAUAAGCUCACAAAUAGCAUAAAAACAUGUAAUGCUUCUGAAAAAUAGAGCCUGCAAUUAUGCAACCAAAAGUAAACUGGCACCUAGUCACAAAUAUUAGAGAAUAUACGUGGAAAUUACACAUAAAAGCACCUUUUGAAACAUGGUGAAUUAAAUUCAAAUGGUAUAACACUAAAACUAGGACUUAAAAAUACAAAUUUAAAAACUCCAGCAGCAAGACCACAUCGAUAAUGAGAACAAACACAUAGAUGGACAUAAUAAGAUACAGGUUGAUUUGGUGAUAAGAAAUUAACCGAUAUUUAGACAGAUAUUUGAUACUUCAAUAUAGAUUCUAAGUAAAUGUAAGAAGCAGCAUUAAUGUAAAUUACCCUUGAUUGUGGGUCAGCCCCCAAAUCCAACACAAAUGACAUAGGCAAAAUGAUAACAUUCUGGAAUAAUUCUAAUGUCCAAAAUGAAUUAGAGUAAAUAAAUAAAACCCUCAAGAAUCAUGUCCUAUUAUCAUAGAACACCAGAACAAUGAAAUGCUGUCAAACCUAAUUAAAGAACAUUUGGGAUAAGACUUCAA